UUUCCAGUGAUUUAGCAUCCUGGCUGGGAGGGGUCAUGUGUUCUACAGUGAGUUCUGAGUAUCCUGCACCGCCCUCGAGGACCUGCAGGGGGCGCGCGAAGCCAGCGUGUCUUAGGUGGCGGUGCGCAUACGCAGUCCGCGUCAGCAGCCAGCAUCUUCCCUGGGGGCGGAGCUUGUUUUCCUCAGGACUGAGCGGGCGGCGCCAUGGAGGCUCCAGGACAGGGCUGCCUGCGUGUCCGCGGGAGGAGGACGCUCCCCGCCCGCUGUCUGAAGUUACGCCGGUUUCCCACUGCCUGCGCCCGCUUCCUGCCGGGGUGUGUGUGGACCUGACCGAGCUGGGGCCCCGGCCGGCUGGGCAGGAGGGGACGGGUGCGCUGGCGGGCCCGCUUCGACUAUUCUCCUCGCCCGCAGGGAGCAGAUUGAAUCUGACUGAGACAUAACUUCGAUGAGAUCACACUGCUAUAAAACGUCAGUAUUGAAAAUCAAAUAUUUCAUACUAUUUCUCAAUCUUGAAAGAAAGAAUAUUUCCAAAAAAAAAAAAAAGAGGAGUUGUUAAGCUGCCCCAGAUACAUAUGCACUGGCUUGAGGACCAGCAUAUUGAAGGAACUUGAAAAUGGAAGACCACCUCCACCCUACUGCCCUCUUCAACAGAAGAGCAAUCGGGACUGGUUCCUGACAUUGUGCCCUGUGGAGCUGUCAUUACAGCUUAAUCACUCCACUCACCAGAGAACUCGACAUAUCACAUCACACGUCUUAAGACUAUUUAGGAUAAUGGCACACAUUCCAAGCCAACUUUAUGAUUUCCUUUUUGGUGAUCUCCUCCUGUUGAAAAGUAAAAUGUCCUCCCAAAGGUUGUUUUCUGACGUUGGUUAUUUUAAGUGUCCCCUAUCAGAUUGCCAUUCUCCCCUCUCUUUUCUCAUGUUCUCCUCUGAAUGGAUAUCCAUCCCUUUGUCAUCAUUUUGUCUAGUUUUCUGAUAUCCUAACCAUUCUCUUAAUUUCCAGUUCCACCUCCUGUAUACAAGGAACAUUAUUCUGGAAGACACUUCCCUGAAACCUGAGUUUCAACAGAAACUUGGGGGCAAGGGUUCUGCCCAUACAGUGAGAACAAGCAAUUAUAACCUUAAGAGAGUAUGGGAAUUCUGAUGUCACUACUCCGUGAUUCUUUAUUUUCAGUCAAUAAAUAACAUGUACCUCUGAUGAUGGCUGUAUGGUCAGGCAUCUCAAGAUGGCUUCUCUCUAUACAUCUCCUGCUUGACUGGUGCCUGCUUCACCUACACACAACUCAUAAGACUGAUCUUCCUUCAUAUUCACCCCAGGCCCCAGCUAAUGACUGUUCUAGAUUUAGAUCAGAACUCACCACUAUGCUUAUCCAAGGGGUGGUGAGAGGCAUGACCCUGUGCUGAUUAGCCUCAUAACCAAUGAGCCAACCUGACAUCAACUCCCCUAUGACUGGUAACCUCUUCUUCCCCACCAGGAGCAAAGACUGCCAUCAUGUCCUGCCCUCCAGCUCCCACACAUGGCAGGAUGUUGCUCCAGGACUUUGCUUCAGAUGUGUAAGAUCACCCUAAUCAUUAAACUAUUGAUUAUCUUUGUUGCUGACUCUGGGAUCUUUCUCAGGUCUUGAAGCUGGGCAAGUACAGGGCUUGUAGACCUGCAGGGUGCAGUCCAGUGCUGACAUAGCUAAUUAAUACCCUCACAUAAAACACUUCGUUUAUAUAAACAUAACGUAACUAGUAGCCAAAUUGGGUUCAAAAGAAUGGAAAUACAUGGAGAUCAGAAGCAACCUUAGCUCUAGGGUCCUCAGAAAGCCCAGAUUCAGUGGGAAAUCAUGGUACAGCACAAGGCUUGUGGGGAGAAAUGAAUAGCAGGCACAGCUUUGCCCAUCUCUUAUCUAAUUCUCAAUAGUUCCUUCUGUAUUGGACCAACCUGGGAUGUGUCUAUGUCCAUUCAAAUACUAUCCCUUUCUGAAACUCUUAUGAAAAUUUCAGUGCACAUCAUGUUAAUUAUGAUGUUUCACUCAUGAUGCCACUUAAACUUAUCAUCAUCUUGCAUUGUUUCAAAAUAUUGAAUGUAUGUAAUUACUCUAAUUAUUUAUGUUGCCUUAUUUUAGUUGUGAUGGUUAUAUAUUUUUUCAGGUUUAUUUUCUUCUCUUGUAAAACUGUCUGCUCAAGCAAAGUAGAUCUACCCAAUGUUUCACAAUGAUACCCUGUACAUUUUGCCUUCCCAAAAUGUUACUUUAAAUAUUCUAUUUGAAGAGUUUUCUCUCUCUUCUCACUCUGUGUGAAUAGUGUUCAUCCUUCAAAAACCAGUCAAUGCCAGUGACUUCAAAAGGGUCAUUCCUCUCACAAAAGUGUAUCUGACCUUGUGAGUAUGCUUUUUCUCAGAAAAAAAAAUCAUGAAUUUGCAUAAUUUGUUUGGCAGUUUCUAUAUGCAGGUAUAUCUUAUUUUAUUGUGCUUCACUUAACUGUACUUUGCAGAUACUGAGUUUUUUCUUUACAAAUUGAAAGUUUGUGGCAACCUGGUCUCUGGCAAGUCUAUCACUGCCAUUUUUCCACAUUGUAUCUCUCUGUCACACUUUGGUAAUUUUCCCAGUAUUUCAAACUUUUUCAUUAUUAUUAUAUUUGUUAUGGUGACCUGUGAUCUUUGAUGUUACUAUUGUAAUUGUUUCAGAGUGCCAUGAACCCCACUCACAUGAGAUGAAAACCAGAUUCACAGAUGCUGUGUGUGUUCUGACUGCUCCAUUGACUUGACUGUUCCCCCAUCUCUCUUUCUUUCCUUGGGCCUCACUAUUCCCUGAGACACAAUAAUAUUUAAAUUAGAUGAGUUGAUAACCCUACAAUGGCCUCUAAGUGUUCAAGUGAAAGAGGAAUCAAUCAAUAUUUUGCUAUAAAUUAUUAUUUAUUGUUAUUUUAAGAAAUUGCCAGACAUCUCGACUUUCAGCAACUGUUAGCCUGAUCUGUCAGCAUCGAGGCAAGACCCUUCACAAGUAAAAAAAUUAUGACUCACUGAAGGCUCAGAUGAUGGCUAACAGUUUUUAAAGUAUUUUUAAUUGAGGUAUGUGUAUUUUUUUUUAGAUAUAAUAAUAUUGCAAGCUAAAUAGACUACAUUGUAGUAUAACAUAAAUUUUAUAUGCACUUGGAAACCAAAAACAUUAUGUGGCUCAUUUUACUGUGAUAUGUUCUUUAUCGUAGUUGUCUGGAAUUGAACAUGCAAUAUCUUUGAGAUAUGCCUGUAUACCUCUUUCUAUCAUGUAUCUAAUUAUGUCCCUAUGAAUCUACUUUCAUAUCUACACAUAUAUCACUUAGUUUGUAAAUGCUAAGAAAGUUAAUACAAUUUGAGGUACCACUUCACACCUACCAGGAUGGCUAUCAUUAAAAAAAAAAAAAAGACAGGCAAUAACAGAAAAGAAUGUGAAGAAUUUGGAAAAUUCAUACAUUGCUUGGAG